AUUUUUUAUUGGUUGCUUUCGUCUUUAUUCGCGCUGCGCGCAGCGACUCGCGACUACGAUACUGGGACUGCGCGAGCGAGCGGUGGAACUCGGUACCCAUGUGUAGUCAGAUGUGCUGGGUUUGCGCAGUGUUACGCCAGCAACUGGCAUCAGCUAAGCGACCAACCUGCAUUGGAAGCGGCAUCACAGCCUUACUGGACAUCAUUAUAGUAGUGACGCCGACGCCAGAGGAGUGAACGUUCGUAGAAGUAACUUCCGGCGCGGGAUGUAAAGGAACCAGAGGAACGACCCGAGCAUCUGCUGGUAUGUGACGGGUCUGGUCUAGUUGUGAGGUCGACACACCGGUUAAGGUGCUUCCAUUUGGAUGAAGUCACUACAACCUGAAGAUGGAUACAGCAUGUUCCUCCAAAACGUUGGCGUACAAUAAGAAGACAGAAUGGCACAGCAAGACUGUAAUAUGAAAUAAUUGUGGUCAGUUUUGUAUGGGCAUGAAACAUGGUCUCUAUUUUGGGGAAGAAUAAGUGCUGCAGAAAAUAUUUGGAUCUACAAAGGAUAAAAUAUUUUAUAGUAUUACAUAACAUGGACAUUUAUAGUUUAUUUAUAUCACCUGGUAUUGUUAAGGUAAAGGAAUCUAGGUGGGGUCAGUGGACUGGGCAGGUAAGUAGAAUGGAUUACACACAGAAGUUUGGUAGUUAAAUCUAUUGAAAGAUUUUUAUGUGGUAAACUCAGAGGGAGUUUAACAUAAAGAUGGAUCUUUGGGGAAAGGUGAUCCUGGGAUGUUGAUUGAACAGACACUGGAUGGUUUCCAGUGGUGGAUGUUGGUAUUACUGUUUUGUCCUCAAGUUUUGCUACAGUGGUUUUCAUGUAGUGUGGUUACUAUCUUAAAUAAGUUAAACAUAUUUUCUUCAACAUUAUUUAGCUUUUGAUUAUUACUCCCUAUCCCAAUUCAUAUAGUGCUAAUUAAUUCUAUGUUUUGAAUCAUGUUGCUAUAGUAAUAUUUCUCCCAUUUUAUGUGUAUAAUUGUCUCCAACAACACAAAAGACAGACAAUUUGUUAAUAUGUGAAUACAGUUCUAUCAUUCAUAAAACUUUUUUUCUUGCAUUUCAUUAAGUAUUUACCAUAGAUAAAGGCGAUUCUAUUACAAAAUUGUGUGUAUAAAGAUAUAUAUUUUGUCAUAAGCAAAUUGUUACAAGAUCAGUGAUUUAAAUGAAGUUCAUUCUGAGACUCAUGUAUUCUAGGGGUUGUAUUUUACCAGUUCAAAUCAAAAUAGAAAUUUGCCUAAUAACGUUUAGCAUAGAACCAUAGCCCCAACCUUAAUAAAAAUCUCUUUAUCAGGUAUGGAGAUGAAAAUUAAGAUAGGCAUACAGACUCACUCUUAUUUGUUCACUUUAUGCCCUAUGUGGGGGGGGGGGGGGAUGUUGGCCUUUUAGACCCUAACAUAUAAGUACAGAAAAAGAGAAUUUUGUGUUAACCUGAAGUCAGAAAAGUUAAGAUGGGGCUAGUACCAACUAACAUUCAAAUGAUUAGCACAGUCAGUAAAUCUGUGGUGAGUGUUAUAGGCUUCCCGCAUGUUCAUGUGAUCUGACUGCGGAACUGCUGUAGCUGUCUGCAGCAGAUGUCACGAGGGAAACCAAUGAUGGGUUGAAACCUACAGUACAUGUGAUGGAAUGUUUUGAGAAAUACAGAGCUGUACUUUUCCUAUUAAGUAUACACCAAGAAAUACAUGGACAUUGCAGUCUGCUCAGUUUAUCGAGAAGUAGUGAUGCCACUCAGACUGCCUAAAUGUGUGUGCACUGCAUUGCUAGUGAG